UGGCAAGCGUUGUCCGGAUUUACUGGGCGUAAAGGGAGCGUAGGCGGAUUUUUAAGUGGGAUGUGAAAUACCCGGGCUCAACCUUGGUGCUGCAUUCCAAACUGGAAAUCUAGAGUGCAGGAGGGAAAAGUGGAAUCCCUAGUGUAGCGGUGAAAUGCGUAGAGAUUAGGAAGAACACCAGUGGCGAAGGCGACUUUCUGGACUGUAACUGACGCUGAGGCUCGAAAGCGUGGGGAGC
rnacentral:rRNA from 1 species